AGAAAUAACAAUACAGGGCUUAUAGUCUUGUAAUUGGAAUGAUGGGAAUCUAAACCCUUCCCAGAGUAUCAAUUGGAGGGCAAGUCUGGUGCCAGCAGCCGCGGUAAUUCCAGCUCCAAUAGCGUAUAUUAAAGUUGUUGCAGUUAAGAAGCUCGUAGUUGAAUUUCUGCCUUAUCAUUAAUUUCGCUUCCGAACGUAAUUUUAUUGAUUUGGCAUCUUUACUGGUUUUAUAUAUUUUAUAUAUUUUUCCAGUUAUUUUACUUUGAGAAAACUAGAGUGUUUCAAACAGGCUUUUGCCUUGAAUACUACAGCAUGGAAUAAUGAAGUAGGACUAUUGGUUCUAUUUUGUUGGUUAUUGAACCAUAGUAAUGGUUAAUAGGAGCAGUUGGGGGCAUUCGUAUUUAACUGUCAGAGGUGAAAUUCUUAGAUUUGUUAAAGACGAACUACUGCGAAAGCAUUUGCCAAGGAUGUUUUCAUUAAUCAAGAAC
rnacentral:rRNA from 1 species